UCAGGGGGCGCGAUGCCGCCUCACAGAACCUCAAGAGGCGCCCGGGUUCCGGCACAGAAGCCCGGCGGCUCCAGGGGGCGGAGCCGAGCCGCCUCCUCAGGACCUACGUAGGAGGCGCCGUCAUCCCUACAGGGACACCUGAGAGGACCCAGCCUCCUCCUCCUCAGGACCCACUCGGGAGACGCCGCUGGCUCUAUAGGAACACCUGGGGACCGUGGCCAGGGACGACCCAGCCUCCUUCUCCUCAGCUCCUCAGGAACGACUGGGGAAGCUGUGGCUUCGUGGUCCCCGAGGCUGCCCGAGGAAAGGUAUUUCAGGACAGCCAGGAGGGGGCGCACAUCCGCCGAGAAACUGUGAGCAAGAGCGUCUGUGCUGAACCACGGAGCCACCAGAGGGCGCGCGAUCCCGCCCCAACCAACUUCCCGCGGAGGUGCCAGAAGCAGCGAGGAGCUUCAACUUCCUCAGGGCAGCACGAGGGUCGUGUUAACUUGGUGUUCUUCAUUGGUAUUUCAGGACAGCCAGGAGGGGGCGCACAUCCGCCGAGAAACUGUGAGCAAGAGCGUCUGUGCUGAACCACGGAGCCACCAGAGGGCGCGCGAUCCCGCCCCAACCAACUUCCCGCUGAGGUGCCAGAAGCAGCGAGGAGCUUCAACUUCCUCAGGGCAGCACGAGGGUCGUGUUAACUUGGUGUUCUUCAUUGGUGAGUAAAAAGCUCCUGUCCACGGCCCUGAGUGCCAAGGAGUGAGUCUUUAGAGCACUCAGCAGAGGAAGAAAUCCAUCUAGAAAAAUAAAACCCCCAAAUCUCACUGUUUGGAGUACACCCUAACAUCAUUGUCAAUGUCCAAGACACAGUGGCUGCUAAUAUAUAUUCUUACAGUGGCCUCUAAUAUAAUAAUCACA